rnacentral:rRNA from 1 species
UACGUAGGGGGCAAGCGUUGUCCGGAUUUAUUGGGCGUAAAGAGCGUGUAGGCGGCCAUACAGGUCCGUUGUGAAAACUCGAGGCUUAACCUCGAGACGUCGAUGGAAACCGUAUGGCUAGAGUCCGGAAGAGGAGAGUGGAAUUCCUGGUGUAGCGGUGAAAUGCGCAGAUAUCAGGAAGAACACCCGUGGCGAAAGCGGCUCUCUGGGACGGUACUGACGCUGAGACGCGAAAGCGUGGGGAGCGAACAGG